GGACUAGUAGCUCACGGAAGAGCGCUACCAAUCUUUCAAAGUCGUUCAAGAAAGUAUGUUGGAGAAGCGAGUUCAAUUCUCGCUUAGUCCU